GACGUAGGAGGCGAGCGUUGUCCGGAUUCAUUGGGCGUAAAGAGCACGCAGGCGGCUUGGCAAGUCGGAUGUGAAAACCCGAAGCUCAACUUCGGGCCUGCAUCCGAAACUGCCCGACUAGAGGUAGGUAGGGGAGAUCGGAAUUCCUGGUGUAGCGGUGAAAUGCGCAGAUAUCAGGAGGAACACCGGUGGCGAAGGCGGAUCUCUGGGCCUUACCUGACGCUCAGGUGCGAAAGCUAGGGGAGCGAACAGG
rnacentral:rRNA from 1 species